rnacentral:rRNA from 1 species
CACGUAGGGCGCAAGCGUUGUCCGGAAUUAUUGGGCGUAAAGAGCGUGUAGGCGGCCAGAAAAGUCCGCUGUGAAAACUCGAGGCUCAACUUCGAGCUGUCGGUGGAAACUGUCUGGCUAGAGUCCGGAAGAGGAGAAUGGAAUUCCUGGUGUAGCGGUGAAAUGCGCAGAUUUCAGGAAGAACACCCGUGGCGAAGGCGGUUCUCUGGGACGGUACUGACGCUGAGACGCGAAAGCGUGGGGAGCGAACAGG